UACGUAGGCAGCAAGCGUUGUUCGGAAUUACUGGGCGUAAAGCGAGUGUAGGUGGUUCGAUAAGUUUGGUGUGAAAUCUCCCGGCUCAACUGGGAGGGUGCGCCGAAGACUGUCGAGCCAGAGUGUGGGAGAGGUAGGCGGAAUUCCUGGUGUAGCGGUGGAAAUGCGUAGGAUAUCAGGAGGAACACCUGCGGGUGUAGACGGCUUCUGGACCACGACUGACACUGAAACUCGAAAGUGUGGGGAGCAAACAGGA
rnacentral:rRNA from 1 species